AUUGAACGCUGGCGGCAUGCCUUACACAUGCAAGUCGAACGGUAACGCGGGGCAACCUGGCGACGAGUGGCGAACGGGUGAGUAAUAUAUCGGAACGUGCCCAGUAGUGGGGGAUAGCCCGGCGAAAGCCGGAUUAAUACCGCAUACGACCUACGGGUGAAAGCGGGGGAUCGCAAGACCUCGCGCUAUUGGAGCGGCCGAUAUCAGAUUAGCUAGUUGGUGGGGUAAAAGCCUACCAAGGCGACGAUCUGUAGCUGGUCUGAGAGGACGACCAGCCACACUGGGACUGAGACACGGCCCAGACUCCUACGGGAGGCAGCAGUGGGGAAUUUUGGACAAUGGGCGCAAGCCUGAUCCAGCCAUGCCGCGUGUGGGAAGAAGGCCUUCGGGUUGUAAACCACUUUUGUCAGGGAAGAAACGGUCUGGUCUAAUAAACCGGACUAAUGACGGUACCUGAAGAAUAAGCACCGGCUAACUACGUGCCAGCAGCCGCCGCGG
rnacentral:rRNA from 1 species